rnacentral:lncRNA from 1 species
AUGAAAAAGUUGUCACCAACUGGCAGUGGUGAAUUGCCACUUGGGAACCAAAAGGUGAAGGGCUGGAGUCCUAAUGCGUCAUCAGAACUCAACAUUAUCCCUGAGGAUUUGGGAGGAGUUCCAUUUCUCAUAAAGCAUUUCUUGCCACCAGUAGGUUCAGGGAGGUCUGGCUCCUAUAGGCAAUUGGGUUCCCUUGGACCCCAGAGAUUCCCUUCAGGCUACUGCAUGGGAGCUCGGAGCCUCCCCUUCACAUGACGGGAAGACGGCCCCGAUUGUGGUCAGCAGAAAGAAGAGAGGCCAUGCAUCCCCUUCGGUGUUGGUCAGCCAGGCCAGAGAAACACCCCCAUCAAGCAGCGAUGCAACAGGCCUCUCGAAGUAACUCUUGAGCAUGAUCUAGAGAUAGCAACUGCUUUUCGCUGAUCCAUGACAAGAUGAUGAUCAUCAGCACGGACAAUGUACUGAACUUUCUUAAGACUGAAUAUUUCAUUUAAAGGAUUAUCAGUGGAGAGUAUACCCUUCCUCUCUUUUUGUCAUUAAAAUAUCUAUUUGUGUAUGAAACAGUGGUGAUAGGAUAUCACAGUUUGGUUGUUUUUUUUAAAAAAUAUAUUUAAUUUCCUUUCUUUUAAAAAAGCUUUUGUAUUUUUGGCUGUGCUGGGUCUUAGUUGCAGCAUACAAACUCUUAGUUGCUGUAUGUGGGAUCUAGUUCUCUGACCAGGGAUUGAACCUGGGCCCCCUGCCCUGGGAGCAUGGAGUCUUAGCCACUGGACCACCAGAGAAGCCCCUUGGUCGUUGUUUCUGUUUUGAUUUCCUUGGCAAAAUUAAAAGUUGGCAAACCAACAUGUCUCCCCAGAUUUUGAUCUGAAAUUUUACCAGCGCUCAAAAUUCAAAACUGUGACAGUCCCGCUAACACACCACAUGGUGGAUCUGAGUAAGACAAACCUUGCGUAUAAAUCCAGCUCUGUUACUUCCUUGAUUGCAUGAACUGCCCUGUCUUGUCUGAGCCACAGGCUGCUCACCAAUUGUUCAUUUGCUCAGUCCUGUCCGACUCUUUGCGACCCCAUGGACUUCAGCACACCAGGCCUCCCUGUCCAUCACCAACU